rnacentral:rRNA from 1 species
GACGAACGCUGGCGGCGUGCUUAACACAUGCAAGUCGAACGGUGAAGCGCCUUCCUUUUUGGUGGGUGUGGAUGAGUGGCGAACGGGUGAGUAACACGUGAGUAACCUGCCCCCUUCUUCUGGAUAACCGCAUGAAAGUGUGGCUAAUACGGGAUAUUCUGGGUCUGUCGCAUGAUGGGUCUGGGACAGAUAUUGUUUCGGUGGGGGAUGGGCUCGCGGCCUAUCAGCUUGUUGGUGGGGUGAUGGCCUACCAAGGCGGUGACGGGUAGCCGGCCUGAGAGGGUGGACGGUCACACUGGGACUGAGACACGGCCCAGACUCCUACGGGAGGCAGCAGGGGGGAAUAUGGCACAAUGGGCGCAAGCCUGAUGCAGCGACGCCGCGUGAGGGAUGGAGGCCUGCGGGUUGUGAACCUCUUUCGCCAGUGAAGCAGGCCUGCCUCGUUUGUGGGUGGGUUGACGGUAGCUGGAUAAGAAGCGCCGGCUAACUACGUG